rnacentral:misc_RNA from 1 species
GGAAGGAUCAUUAAAGUCAGGCUUUUGAGAGGGCUUGAUAUCGGACAUGUGAUGCUGCGGUUCCCCUGUGGUGGGGGUCCCGCAGCGGGGAAUAUUGCACCCCAAAGAUUUAGCCCGCCGCACGGUACGACUAUGCUUGGCGUUGCGGUAAGGGCGGUCUUUGAAGGCUGGGAAAAAUGACGAAAAUCGCGGCCCCUAAACUCAGCCCCGCGUAGUCGGCUUUGUGAGCAUAGUACAUGUCCUUAUCUACAACCGUCAACGAUGAAUGACUCGGCUAUCACGUCGAUGAAGAGCGUAGCGAAGUGCGAAAAUUAGUGCGAUCUGUAGCUGCGUGACGCAUCGAGUUCUUGAACGCAUUGUGCCUUGGGACGCGAGUCUCAAGGUGUGUCUGGUUGGGUGUCCGUACGAUAUAAACCCCCGCCGCAAUAGCGGUGCUUCAAUGGGGCAAAGUUAUGGAGUCGGCGGUAUCGCCGAACUUCAUUAAGGCUUAAGUAGCUGCACUCUUGUCAGUAGUCGUAUGCGCGCUGAAGCUGUAAAACGACGAAACUUGAGGGCGGCGAACGACCGCAGGAAAGGGGGGGUACAUCGGCUUCGCUGAGAGUCGGUGUGCCUUACCGAGUACUGAGAGUUAAUUCUCUAACAUCGAUGUAUCGGACCUCAGCUCAGGCAUGACCACCCGCUAAACUUAAGCAUAUUAGUAAGCGGAGGAAAAGAAACCAAAGGGGAUCCUCUUAGUAACUGCGAGUGAAGAGGGGAUAGUCCAGGCUGAAUCCAAUGUCCGUUAGGGCGGCGGAGUUGUGGCCUUUGAUCUGCGGAGGAAGCUGCGUAAGGAAGGCGAAGUUCCCUGGAAUGGGACGCUAUAGAGGGUGAGAGCCCCGUAGUCUUUCGAGUGCGGUGAACGACGCGGAUUUAGAGUCAGGCUGCUUGGGAACGUAGCCUAAAGUGCGAGGUGUGACCCUCGUAAGACUAAAUACCGGGUGAUAGACCGAUAGCAAACAAGUACCGCGAGGGAAAGUUGCAAAGCACUCUGAAGAGAGAGUCAAAAGUACCUGAAGUCGUUGACGGGGAAGCGGUUGAAUGAGCUAGAAAGGUGCCGUAGUUCACCUUUAGUGCGCUGGGGCAGUGCUGAUGGAGAGGCGUCUUCGGGCGUUCGAAGUCGGUACUUAAAAGGCGGCUAGGGGGCAUUCUAUGGUGCCUACUCGGCACAUACCUUCUUAUCUAGGGAAGAAGGUUCGGACGGUAGUUGCAUAAGCGGCGAUAUACGGACUUUGAUAUGGGUGAGAUAGUAGGAUAAAACCGGUGCCGCAAGGCUGGGGUAUGGGUUCGGUACGGUUGCAAAGCCGCUGAUGACAGCUUGCUGUUGUUGGUGAGCCUAGUGGCCUGCUGGGUCCUGCCACAACACCGGUUAGUGGCUGGGGUACGGCGAAUUUAGCUGUCCCGUCUUGAAACACGGACCAAGGAGUUUAACAUUUGUGCGAGUCUAAGAGUCGGCAAACUUCUAAGGCGAAGUGAAAGCGAAAAGGGCGAGGCGGAGUCUGUGGACGAAGCUGCAGCCUUCAUGUACCUUGAGCUACGGCAAAAGGUUUCAGUGGUAGCAUGUCUGUUAAGACCCGAAAGAUAGCGAACUAUACCCGCUUAGGAUGAAGCCAGGCGAAAGCCUGGUGGAGGUCCGUAGCGGUACUGACGUGCAAAUCGUUCGUCAAAAGUGGGCAUAGCGGCGAAAGACUAAUCGAGCUAUCUAGUAGCUGGUUCCACU